AGCGAACGCUGGCGGCAGGCCUAACACAUGCAAGUCGAACGGAUCCUUCGGGAUUAGUGGCGGACGGGUGAGUAACACGUGGGAACGUGCCCUUUGGUUCGGAACAACUCAGGGAAACUUGAGCUAAUACCGGAUGUGCCCUUCGGGGGAAAGAUUUAUCGCCAUUGGAGCGGCCCGCGUCUGAUUAGCUAGUUGGUGAGGUAAAGGCUCACCAAGGCGACGAUCAGUAGCUGGUCUGAGAGGAUGAUCAGCCACAUUGGGACUGAGACACGGCCCAAACUCCUACGGGAGGCAGCAGUGGGGAAUCUUGCGCAAUGGGCGAAAGCCUGACGCAGCCAUGCCGCGUGAAUGAUGAAGGUCUUAGGAUUGUAAAAUACUUUCACCGGGGAAGAUAAUGACGGUACCCGGAGAAGAAGCCCCGGCUAACUUCGUGCCAGCCGCCGCAGUAACAC
rnacentral:rRNA from 1 species